GCUGGGGCAACUUUUUGCUCAACCCUCUCCAAGCACUAGACAGGGAAAAUGAUAGUUUUACUUCCUCUUGUUUUCCUUUCAGCAAUUUUUGGAGGUGUCCAAUCAGAGGUCCAACUAGAAGAAUCUGGAGGGGACAUCAAAAGGCCAGGAGAGUCCCUCCGCCUCUCCUGUCGAACCUCUGGGUUCACCUUCAGCAGCUAUGUCAUGUACUGGGUGAGACAAGCACCAGGAAAAGGCUUGGAAUGGGUGGCAUCUAUAUCUGAAAGGUCAUCUAAAAUUUACUACUUGGAUAAAGUGAAGGGGCGCUUCACCACCUCUAGAGACAAUUCCAACAGCCUGCUCUAUCUGCAAAUGAACAGCCUGACAGCAGACGACACAGCGGUGUAUUACUGUGCAAGAGGAGACACAGUGAGAGGAAGUGAAUCUGAAGGCAGGCAAAAACUGUCCUUCCCUCACAGCCCUUCACCUUAUAUGGAUUCUAUGAACAUAAAAGAGUGGUUCCUUCUAUAA